rnacentral:rRNA from 1 species
GACGAACGCUGGCGGCGUGCUUAACACAUGCAAGUCGAACGGUGAAGCGCCUUCCUUUUUGGUGGGUGUGGAUGAGUGGCGAACGGGUGAGUAACACGUGAGUAACCUGCCCCCUUCUUCUGGAUAACCGCAUGAAAGUGUGGCUAAUACGGGAUAUUCUGGGUCUGUCGCAUGAUGGGUCUGGGAAAGAUAUUGUUUCGGUGGGGGAUGGGCUCGCGGCCUAUCAGCUUGUUGGUGGGGUGAUGGCCUACCAAGGCGGUGACGGGUAGCCGGCCUGAGAGGGUGGACGGUCACACUGGGACUGAGACACGGCCCAGACUCCUACGGGAGGCAGCAGUGGGGAAUAUUGCACAAUGGGCGCAAGCCUGAUGCAGCGACGCCGCGUGAGGGAUGGCGGCCUUCGGGUUGUGAACCUCUUUCGCCAGUGAAGCAGGCCUGCCUCGUUUGUGGGUGGGUUGACGGUAGCUGGAUAAGAAGCGCCGGCUAACUACGUG